rnacentral:rRNA from 1 species
AGAACGAACGCUGGCGGCAGGCUUAACACAUGCAAGUCGAGCGCCUCGCAAGAGGAGCGGCAGACGGGUGAGUAACGCGUGGGAAUCUACCCAGCUCUACGGAAUAACUCAGGGAAACUUGUGCUAAUACCGUAUACGUCCGAUAGGAGAAAGAUUUAUCGGAGUUGGAUGAGCCCGCGUUGGAUUAGCUAGUUGGUGGGGUAAUGGCCUACCAAGGCGACGAUCCAUAGCUGGUCUGAGAGGAUGAUCAGCCACACUGGGACUGAGACACGGCCCAGACUCCUACGGGAGGCAGCAGUGGGGAAUAUUGGACAAUGGGCGCAAGCCUGAUCCAGCCAUGCCGCGUGAGUGAUGAAGGCCCUAGGGUUGUAAAGCUCUUUCAACGGUGAAGAUAAUGACGGUAACCGUAGAAGAACGCCCGGCUAACUUCGUGCCAGCAGCCGC